AAAGUGAUAGAUGCAUACAGUGGAAUGUUAUUUAGCCUUAAAAAAAGAAGGAAAUCCUGUCACCUGCUAUGACGUGCAUGAACUUUGAAGGCAUCCUGCUGAGUGAAAUGAGCCAGUCACAAAAGGACAAAGGACUGUGUGGUUCCACUUACAUGAGGGGGGAGUGUCCCCUGGUGGCUGCCUGCUGUCCUUCUUGGGGAGAUGCCCUAACCCACACCCCAUCCAACUCCGGGUCUCUUCAGCAAGACGACAGAGAAGGGGUCUUCCUGUGGAGGCCCUUCUUGGAAGUGGUGAAAACUACGUUGAAUUUUCAAGGAGCCGCGGGAAGGAUGGAUGUGAGACAAGAGUGUCGAGAAGCUUCGGAUAUGAGGCAUGAUGUUACGUCUGGAGUUUGAGACCUGGCCUCCUCGCUGGGUGACCUGUGCCACAGGCCAGAGCCAGACCUGCCCUGAACAGCCGGCAUGCGUGGCCUCCUGGCCUACGAGGGAUCCUCUUUCUCCCCACCCCGAAGUCUUGGUCUCACGUGGCUUCGCCUGGCCCUGGCCCUCUGCCCCACUGACAGGAGGCCCCCACACACGACUCUACGAGCAAGUCUGCCUCAGGGCCGGUUUUCCUCAGCCAGGCUGCUGAGACCACACAGAGGAAGGAAGAUGACAGUGACCACAGGCAGAGAUAGGCACUGCACGUGCCGGGCACAGCUGCCAGGCCUCUCGGGCAGAUGGGGUCCCGCGGGGACGCUGUGGGACUCCUGGGGAAGCAGAAGACUUCCAGGAGACAGAGGUUUGGAGGAGCCAUCAAAGGGGUGUCCGAGGAAGACCAGGGACAGUGUCUGUGUGAGGCAGACGUGGAAACGGGCUAGGCCUGUGGCAGGGCCGGGAGCGGCGCCUUGGCUGCAGUGGAAAAUCCCAACCAGAGGCGAGAACUCCAUUCAACAAAUAUUUAUGGCACCUAGUCAAUACAAAGAAGAGGGCCAGGCUGAGUCACUGGGCAUGGCCCUGUGCUGGCACCACGCGUUGCUGUCGGAGGGACCUUCAGGGUCCCUGGAGCAGAAGAGGGGCUGGGAGAGGGUGCAGGAGCCAGGUCGGGGACGAAGGAGCCCCUGGGCCCAAGAGAUACCCCAGCCCCGUGGGGACCCGAGCUCAGCAGCCCCCUGGGCCCCCUCCCCCUGGCAAAGAACUGCAGAGUGACAGACCAGUCGCGACACUGCCCAGGCUAAGCUAGGGUGACCCUGGGGGUCGGGGGGACUGAAUCCGCUACCACAGUUCAGCAUGGGGACAGCAGGCCUGAGGAGAGGCAUCGCCAGGCGCU